rnacentral:rRNA from 1 species
AUGUCGUUCAUGACAUACCUCACCAAGUUCCAAUUCGGUAUGUCAUCCAAAUUUUAUGAGAGCCACAAAAUAUGUUGGAAGAAUAACUACGGAUCAAAUGGACCUCGAACUUUAUCUCACCGUGAACACCACAUAAAUCACAUUCUAACAGGAGGCCUCAGCCAUCGCCAAGGCAUCUCAUGGAAACAUGGGGGAAACUCCAAAUCGAACAGAGCAACACAAAAAUAG